CUAACGCAAUGUGAUUUCU
rnacentral:siRNA from 1 species